UUUUUAAAAGAAUUUUGACCAUAGAAUUUUGCAGGUUUGUUAUGUAUACACAUUGCUCUUGAUUAUUUUAAGGCCUUUAUUUUACAUUUAUAUUUCUAAAGAGACGACUGAAAGUGGGAAAUAUAGACAAACACAAUUUCUAUUUACGUCUUUGUUGUAAUAAAAAAAGGGAUUAUCUGUUUUAAAGAUAAAACAGCAUCAUGCUGGAAUUAUGCCAUUUUUCUCACCACAAUAAAUCAGUGUGUAUUUUAUAAAAUAGAAUUAAAUCAUAUUAAAUGAAAUGUUAAUCAGUUUUUCUCAGGUCAUCGUGCUCCUUGCGCUCUUACGGCUCCAUCAGUACUGAGAACUUUAUUUAUUUCUUUUCUCCUGUUUCACUGCUGGAAUGAACACACGGUUGCGUUUUCAUUGAUUCUGAUAUAUUUUUCAUGGAUUUUUUGUAUUUAUUACUAACAGUAUAUUGUAUAGACAUUGCAGCGUGUUACCUCAAUACUGUACAAAUGGGAUCAUACAGAUGAAUCAUACAGGGAUAUUUGCAUGACUCUGGUCAGUAAUGACUCGGUGUAUCCAUUAAAGGAUUCCUUGAUUAGUAUUCUAGGCAUGAAGUGAUUCAUUUAUCUGGGAAAUGUUAAAACACUAGUGUGUCGGCACUUUUAUUCUGCAAUACAGACUUUAACCACAAGGUGGAAGCAGAGCUCAAAGCAAAUCAUCGGGUUGUGGAGGAUUGUGUUACAGGCAGAACACAACUCUUUAUUACUUGUGCUCAGUAAUUGUCACUGGUUCCCCUUCACUCACUCUAUGCUAUGAAAUACUCUUUAGAAAUAUAUUUCAAUUAACACAAUUAACGUUCAGUACACUGUUUUAAAAUGAGACUGAAAUCUGAAAGUGACUUCCUCUAUCCUCUCUGAGAGACCACACGGGUAACACAGACCAAACUCACCCAACUAUUCUAAAGACUUUGCUCGAGCGUGAGACUCUUCUGAUUGUUCAUCUACCUGUCAGAAGCCAUAGAAAGGAUUCCUCCACCAUUUUCCCCGUCGUCCUGAACGUCAGCGUCUCUGAAGAGUUUUGUGCACAGUGCAGUUUGCCAGUUCACUCAUGGAGCUGCUGCUGGGACUUUGACCACAAGGUGGAAGCGAAUCACAAAGCAAAUCACGAACUGGUUGUGGAGGAUUGUGCUAGAGGCAGAACACAGAUAAUGUUAUGUUGUUGUGCAAAUAAAUAGUUUAAUGUUUAUGCUCAGUAAUUGUCACGGGUUCCCCUUCACCCAGUCUCUGCUUUAAAAUAACUGAAGCAGAUAUUCCACACAGAGAGAAAGAUUCAAGACUGCAGGGUAACACUGAUAUGACCCAAAUGAUCAUUUUCAUUUGAACACCAGGCUGAAUUACACGACUGGAUUGUAAAAAGUACAGGUAUCACCAUAUUCUAUUAAUAUUGAUGUUUAACAGCAAAAUCCACCCUGAGAAAUCUGAGAAGGGUUACAAAGCUAUACAAAGGCUCUGGGACUCCAAAGAACCACAGUGAGAGCCGUUAUCUCCAACCGGAACAAUUCAGCACAGUAGUGAACCUUCCCAGAAGUGGCCGACCCAGAAAGAGUGUCUUAUUACACAGUUGAGGGUAAAUCAAACCUGCAAAUUAAAUACUACAUUAAAUCCUAAUGUCAGUGCGAAACUGUCCACAUUUCCUUAUGUCCAGGAGUCAGAGAGCCUGUGCUGGGAUUUGGAGUCAACACUUCUGUUACUCAGCUAGUGCAGCCUUCAGAUGUUGGCAUGAAGCAGGUGAUUGAGCGAUUCACACCAACUCACCAACCCAGUUACUAUUUAAAAUCAGAGAGAUCCAAAAUACAACAAAUUAACAUUCUGAACUUUCAGCAGUUGCAUGUCACAGCCGAUGAAAAUUAGACUCCACAAACU